rnacentral:rRNA from 1 species
ACGGGAGGCAGCAGUGGGGAAUAUUGCACAAUGGGGGAAACCCUGAUGCAGCGACGCCGCGUGAGUGAAGAAGUAUUUCGGUAUGUAAAGCUCUAUCAGCAGGGAAGAAAAUGACGGUACCUGACUAAGAAGCCCCGGCUAACUACGUGCCAGCAGCCGCGGUAAUACGGAGGACCCGAGCGUUAUCCGGAUUUAUUGGGUUUAAAGGGUGCGCAGGCGGAGGAUUAAGUCAGCGGUGAAAUUCUCAUGCUCAACAUGAGAACUGCCAUUGAUACUGGUCCCCUUGAGAGAUGUCGAGGAUGGCGGAAUGUGAUGUGUAGCGGUGAAAUGCUUAGAUAUGUCACAGAACACCGAUUGCGAAGGCAGCUGUCCAGAGAUCAUCUGACGCUCAGGCACGAAAGCAUGGGUAUCAAACAGGAUUAGAUACCCUGGUA